UCAGGCGCAAUAAUUAGCCCAAGACACCUAGCCAUGCCACACCCACAAGGGAAUUCAGCAGUAAUUAAUAUUGAAUAUAAGCGUCAGCUUGAUUCGGUUAAAGUAAAAAGGGCCGGCAAAUAUGGUGCCAGCCGCCGCGGUUACACCAUAUGACCCAAAUUGAUCCCCUACGGCGUAAAGCGUGAUUAAAGUUACUAUAUAUUGUAGUUAAACUACUAAUAGGCUGUAAUACGCUUUUAUUUAGGAAGCUCAAAAACGAAAGUUACUGCAUGCAAAACAACUUGAAUUCACAACAGUUAGGUUACAAACUAGGAUUAGAUACUCUACUAUGCCUAACUAUAAACUUUUAAUUUACACCAAAUAUCGCCUGGGAACUACGAGCAAAGCUUAAAACCCAAAGGACUUGACGGUACCCCACAUCCCCCUAGAGGAGCCUGUCCUUUAAUCGAUACUCCACGUUUAACCUCACCAUUUUUAGCUAAUCAGUCUGUAUACCUCCGUCGUCAGCUUACCACGUGAGCGACUUAAAGUAAGCUAAAUGUUUAUUUUACAUCAAUACGUCAGGUCAAGGUGCAACUAAUAAAAUGGAAAGAGAUGGGCUACWCUCUCUAACAUAGAAUACACAAAAGACUAACUGAA
rnacentral:rRNA from 1 species